rnacentral:rRNA from 1 species
UGGCGUGACUCCAAUUGAACGCAGGCUUCACCCCUUGUGGUGCUCCCCCGCCAAUUCCUUUAAGUUCAUACUUGCGUACGUACUUCCCAGGCGGCAGACUUAACGGCUUCCCUGCGGCACUGCAUUGGCCACAAGCCAAUGCAUCACCGAGUCUGCAUCGUUUACAGCUGGGACUACCCGGGUAUCUAAUCCGGUUUGCUCCCCCAGCUUUCAUCCCUCACCGUCGAACGUGUUCUGGUACACCGCCUUCGCCACAGGUGGUCUUCAAUAGAUCAAAGGAUUUUACCCCUUCCUAUCGAGUACCGUGUACCUCUCCCACUCCCUAGCUGCACAGUAUUUUCGGCGGCCUAUACGUUAAGCGCAUAGAUUUAACCGAAAACUUAUGCAACCGGCUACGGAUGCUUUAGGCCCAAUAAACCUCCUGACCACUCGAGGUGCUGGUUUUACCGCGGCGGCUGACACCAGAACUUGCCCACCCCUUAUUCACCAGUGAUUCUACAACUGACAAAAGACUCCUUUAGCAGGAGACACUCGGAUUAACCUUGUCGUGCUUUCGCACAUUGCAAAGGUUUCU